UACGUAGGGGUCGAGCGUUUGUCCGGAGUACUGGGCGUAAAGCGUGCGCAGGCGGCUCAUUGCGCCCGGCGUGAAAGCCCCCGGCUCAACCGGGGUGGGUCGUCGGGGACGGGUGAGCUUGAGGGUAUCAGGGGUUGGUGGAAUUCCCGGUGUAGUGGUGAAAUGCGUAGAGAUCGGGAGGAACACCCGUGGCGAAGGCGGCCAACUGGGAUACACCUGACGCUGAGGCACGAAGGCGUGGGGAGCGAACGGG
rnacentral:rRNA from 1 species